rnacentral:rRNA from 1 species
UACGAAGGGGGCUAGCGUUGUUCGGAAUUACUGGGCGUAAAGGGCGCGCAGGCGGUUCCUCAAGUCAGGCGUGAAAGCCCCGGGCUCAACCUGGGAACUGCGCUUGAGACUGCGGGACUGGAGUUCGGGAGAGGAGAGCGGAAUUCCCAGUGUAGAGGUGAAAUUCGUAGAUAUCGGGAGGAACACCAGUGGCGAAGGCGGCCUUCUGGACGAACACUGACGCUGAGACGCGAAAGCGUGGGUAGCAAACAGG